UAUUUCGCUGAAAAAGAAAAUUCUGUGAAAUCAACAUUUUGGGCUAGAUAGUCGUUGUUAAAGUCAACUCUGUUAAUAUAAAACAGCAUAGAUAUAAUCUAAGUACACCAAGUUCUCAAGCAAAAAAUAUAGGUUAUGUUUCCCAGAAAUCAAAUAUAUUUACAAGAGAAAACUUACGAAAAUUUUUAACAGAGGCCCGUGAUUAAUGUACCUAAUGUCAAAGGUAUAUUUUUUAUUCGAAGUUGUAGGAGUAUGCGGAAUGGAAGAAUUUGAACAAUUUUCUUGUAUCUACAUAACCUAUAAUAAGCUUUUAUUAUUAUUACAGAACAGAUUAUUAGCUUACAUGCCCAUUUUAAAUGAAAAAAGAUCUGUAGCAAUUGUAAAAUAGAGAUGGAUAGCAAUAAUAACAAGCAGUUUACAUGCAUUCGACCGAACUUGCAAAAACUGGCAGAUAAUAUAUCAAAUUUAUUACCUAAAAACUCAGCCACAGUUUAUGAAAAGCGGUUUAUUUUUUAUUAGAAGUUGUAGGAGCAUGUGGAAUGGAUAAAUUGAAAAAUAAUGACGGCAUUCAAGACAAAAACGAUACGCUAAUAAUUAAAAUUCCAACGUCUAAAACUGGCAAAGCACGAGAAUUUACAAAUAUGUGUAAAAAUAUUUAUCCAAUUGAAAUAUAGUAAAAAUACCUAAUUUUAAGACUGCACCAUACACCAGACAAAUCAUUAUUUAUACAUUACAUUUGGAUAGUGAAUGCAGCAGCUGCUGCAUUGUACAAAUAUACCUGCAAACACACUGUAACAAAUUAUGCAGACACCUCUUUUGACUAAAAGAUAUAUAUUUAACUUUAUCCAUACGUUGUCAACUUUGUUAAUAAUUGCAAUCUCUAACUUCAUAAGAAAUAUGAAUAAUCUACUUUGGUGUUUUAUAGUAGUAUUAAAUGUUCAUAGAAUAUAAUUGCACUUACUACGAA